GAAUUCUAGACAUACGUGGUCUGCGGACAGGGCAGCGCCCCCAGCCCAUGACAAGGGAGUCUUGUUUUCUGGCUUGGUUUGGGGACCUGCAAAUGGGAGGCCUGAGGCCCUCUUCAGGCUUUGGCAGCCACAGAUACUUCUGAACCCUUCACAGAGAGCAGGCAGGGGCUUCGGUGCCGCGUGGGCAGUACGCAGGUCCCACCGACACUCACCUGGGAGCACGGCGCCUGGCUCUUACCAGCGUCUGGCCUAGAGGAAGCCUUUGAGCGACCUUUGGGCAGGUUUCUGCUUCUUCUGUUUUGCCCCAUGGUCAAGUCCCUGUUCCCCAGGCAGGUUUCAGCUGAUUGGCAGCAGGCUCCCUGAGUGAUGAGCUUGAACCUGUGGUGUUUCUGGGCAGAAGCUUAUCUUUUUUGAGAGUGUCCGAAGAUGAAGGCAUGGCGAUGCCCGUCCUCUGGCUUGGGUUAAUUCUUCGGUGACACUGGCAUUGCUGGGUGGUGAUGCCCGUCCUCUGGCUUGGGUUAAUUCUUCGGUGACACUGGCGUUGCUGGGUGGCAAUGCCCAUCCUCUGCCUUGGGUUAAUUCUUCGGUGACACUGGCGUUGCUGGGUGGCGAUGCCCGUCCUCUGGCUUGGGUUAAUUCUUGGAUGACGUCGGCGUUGCUGGGAGAAUGUGCCGUUCCUGCCCUGCCUCCACCCACCUCGGGAGCAGAAGCCCGGCCUGGACACCCCUCGGCCUGGACACCCCUCGAAGGAGAGGGCGCUUCCUUGAGUAGGUGGGCUCCCCUUGCCCUUCCCUCCCUAUCACUCCAUACUGGGGUGGGCUGGAGGAGGCCACAGGCCAGCUAUUGUAAAAGCUUUUUAUUUUAGUAAAAUAUACAGAAGUUCUUUUUCUGAACUCA